GGAAGCCCCCCCCCCCAACCUUCUUUGUUUUUUCUAACCUUCUUCAUUGUUGAAUUCAUCAUUUGACAGGAUAAGAUAUUCAUAUUUCUCUGUGACCUUCUCUCUCUCUUCUUUUUUUUUUAGUUCAUCCCUGCGCUGUUUCAUGAACAAAAUGAUCAAAGCUGUUUAUUCUUUUCUGCUCUACUUUGCCUUGUUAUUUAUCAUAUCAGAAGCAGAAUCGAACAGGCUCAGGCCUCUAGCUCUCCACUCUUUCAAUCUCAGUUUAAUCCAGAAUGUGGGAAGCUGCUCAUACCAAGUGAUCAUAUCAACAAGCUGCUCCUCACCCAAAUACAACCGCGAUCAGAUCAGCCUUGCUUUCGGGGACGGUUAUGGCAACCAGAUAUAUGCACCAAGGCUAGAUGAUCCAUCCACGAAUACAUUCGAGCAGUGCUCCUCUGAUACAUUUCAGAUAACCGGACCAUGUGCCUAUCAGAUAUGCUAUGUUUAUCUGUAUAGAACAGGUGUUGAUGGCUGGAAGCCAGAGACUGUGAAGAUCUAUUCGUAUAUUUCAUAUCCUGUUACAUUCGAUUACGACAUUUUUAUUCCUGGAGAUAUUUGGUACGGAUUCAAUC
rnacentral:misc_RNA from 1 species